UACGGAGGGGGCUAGCGUUGUUCGGAAUUACUGGGCGUAAAGCGCACGUAGGCGGCUUUGCAAGUCAGAGGUGAAAGCCCGGGGCUCAACCCCGGAAUUGCCUUUGAGACUGCAUCGCUAGAAUUGUGGAGAGGUAAGUGGAAUUCCGAGUGUAGAGGUGAAAUUCGUAGAUAUUCGGAAGAACACCAGUGGCGAAGGCGACAUACUGGACACAUAUUGACGCUGAGGUGCGAAAGCGUGGGGAGCAAACAGG
rnacentral:rRNA from 1 species